GGCCAGCAUGAGUGGCUCCUGUGAGCUUGCUAUGUGCUUCUCUGGAAGGGUGUGAACUCAGAUGGCCAACAUUUCCAGACCUGGGCUGUCUGUGGACUUGCCUGUAAGAAAGACCAGCAAUGAUUCUUCAUUUGUAAUGUUAGGACAUCAUUAGAUGACCUCCUGGAUCCCUUCCAAAUACACUUAAUGAACUACCUACUCAUAUCUUGGCUCAAGGCCCUUUGAUUGGAUCUGGGGAUAUGAAAAUGAAACAGCCCCUGCCCUCGAACAGUUUACAUUUUACUGGGGCUGAUAGAGCAUGGACACAAAUAAAUAAUGUGAAGAGAAAGAGCUGUGAGCCUCAGAGCAGGCAUCAUGCUUGAGGUGGCCCCUCAGCUGAACCUCAUGAAAAGAAGGAUUCUGAAAGGUGGCUAUGAGCAGACACUGCAUUCCAGGAAGUGUCUGAAGCCUGGUUCUCUUUGCACAUCACUCUCUACCUAGAAGUCACCCGCACAAUCUUCAGAGAGCUAGGCCUUGCUGAUAAAGCUGUAGAACCUGUCUCCUGUGGUCAGGGGAAAGAAUGACCUUGAUGUCUUCACAUGGAAUGUAGCCCACAAACUACAUUUCCUUCCACCUUGGGUGAGGGAGGCUAUUUCAGGAAUGGGAAUGUUCUUAUUUUGAAAACUUUGUUCACCAAAGGGAUUAAGAAGAAAUAAAAGAAAUCUACUAUUCCCUACACAUCUGAAUAAAUUCUAAACAUGUGCAAAAUGGUGGCAGAAGUUAAUAUCCAAAUGAAUCGAUAAGGAGGGCACGACAAUUGGAGGAUGUGUUCAUGUUAGAGAUUAGAGUAUAGACAGAUCUGGGAAGCAAAACAAACUUAGUCUACUGCAAUUGCAGUUCUAAUUAUGUGUUCUUAUCUAUGGAACAUCUGACUCGCCAGCUGAAGCCUUCCUGAUACGUUGUCUCCGCCAUUAGAAUGUGAGGUACUUGAAAGUAAGACUUGUUUGACUUUUCCU